UUGUUUUCCCUUGAAAGCUUGAGGUCUAGGCCUAAAUUGGUUACCUGGCCUCCCUUGGUCCUUCUGUCCACUCGUAUACUGAUCCCUUUAUUCUUGAACUUUCUUCAAACUGUUCUCAGCCACAUAUCAUUGCCUUAGUAAUUUAGCAUAAGUAGUGAUUUCUCUUUGAGAAACACUAUGAGAAAUUUCACCUCUUAAACCAAAAAGGAAUUGGUCGAUCUUCCACUUCUCAUCUGAUGCGUACUCGGCAUGUCUAGAAUAAGCAGCCAUAUCUUCGAAC
rnacentral:lncRNA from 1 species